GGUUAACGCUGGCGGCGUGCCUAACACAUGCAAGUCGAACGGUUCUAAGCGCGAGCUUAGGAUAGUGGCGAACGGGUGAGUAAAAGGUAGGAAUCUACCCCUUGGACGGAGAUAGCUACUGGAAACGGUAGGUAAACUUCGAUAAGCCCGAGAGGGGAAAGUGGUGAGACAGCCGAGGGAUGAGCCUACUCUCCAUCAGGUAGUUGGUGAGAUAAAAGCUUACCAAGCCGAUGACGGAUAACCGGUGUGAGAGCAUGAACGGUCACAAGGGCACUGAGAGACGGGCCCUACUCCUACGGGAGGCAGCAGUGGGGAAUCUUAGGCAAUGGACGAAAGUCUGACCUAGCGACGCCGCGUGAGGGAAGAAGGCCUUCGGGUUGUAAACCUCUGUCAUGGGGGAAGAAGGAAGUGACGGUACCCAAGAGGAAGCCCCUGCUAACUACGUG
rnacentral:rRNA from 1 species